AAUCCCACCGGGUGUAGCAAUACACCGGGUGGGGGAAGUGGCGAAAGGGGCAGUAAGGCGUGGGCAACCUACCCCGGGGAUGGGGAUAGCCGUUCUAACGAGCGGGUAAUACCCAGCGAUCCGGCGUGCGGGCAUCCGCGUGCCGGGAAACGAGUUUCGCCUCGGGAGGGGCUCACGUGCUAUUAGCUGGUUGGCGGGGUAACGGCCCACCAAGGCAAAGAUGGCUAGCGGGUGUGAGAGCACGACCCGCGCCACUGGCACUGAGACACUGGCCAGACACCUACGGGUGGCUGCAGUCGAGGAUCUUCGUCAAUGGGCGCAAGCCUGAACGAGCGACGCCGCGUGUGCGAUGAAGGCCUUCGGGUUGUAAAGCACUGUCGAGGGGGAUCAAGGCCCGCAAGGGCUUGAUUGAUCCCUGGAGGAAGCACGGGCUAAGUUCGUGCCAGCAGCCGCGGUAAGACGAACCGUGCGAACGUUGUUCGGAAUCACUGGGCUUAAAGGGCGCGUAGGCGGCUCGCGAGGUCGGGGGUGAAAUCCCACGGCUUAACCGUGGAAGGGCCUCCGAUACCGGCGGGCUGGAGGAAGGUAGGGGUGCGCGGAACUUCUGGUGGAGCGGUGAAAUGCGUUGAUAUCAGAAGGAACGCCGGCGGCGAAAGCGGCGCACUGGACCUUUUCUGACGCUGAGGCGCGAAAGCCAGGGGAGCAAACGGGAUUAGAUACCCCGGUAGUCCUGGCCCUAAACGAUGGGUACUAGGCCGUGGGCCAGUCAUGGGCUCACAGCCGAAGCCAAAGUGUUAAGUA
rnacentral:rRNA from 1 species